CUGGCUGGGUGGCGAUUUCAAUAACCUUUGUUUUUUGUUUCUCAAAAGCAAACAAACCACCCUCUGUGUGGCUCAGGCUUGUUUUAAACAUCACGGAGCCCUGAGCAGAAGGGAAGGCCCAGGGCCAUGCUGGGAAGCCGGCGAGAAGCUCCGAGGGCAGCCACAAGAGGUCUGACGCUUGCUACGACAAGUAAAGAUCAAAUCAGAAGCUGAACGCCCUGAGGCUUUGAAAGAUAGAGAGUGAUUUGUAGCCCCUCCAGUGAAAAGGCUGCUGCCAUUGUUAACAACCUCUGUUCCCGCUUUCUCCGCCAUGCUGGGCGCCGGAGCGCACUGUGUUCCAAGAAGUGAUGCCCGACCAUCUCCAGAGCAGCGUGGACUCCAGGGCGGGCAAUGGGCCUCUGCCACGUCACCUGCAGAGCCGACGGGAGGAAACGGCUCCGAGGCCCAGGGCAGGUAGACUCGGGCAGCCUGGGCCUGGGGUCUGGAAGACUCGGCCUCCAGGACGUGAGUCGUUGCUCUGGCCGCGGCUUCCGGCUGCUCCUGGUGCCCCCAGUUUGGCAUCACCCUCUGCCUCUGGGCCCCAGGCCCUCCCACUCUCACUGGCCCAUCCUCGGAGGGGCCAGAAGGGCCUGCCGCCCUCUCGGCCAGGGAUAGCUGAGCGCAGGCCUUCGUAGCCCUUUGGUAGGCCUGCACAUUGAAUGCACUCACAUCCCAAAGAGAAUCGAAUUUCUUUACCAUUCCUUGUAAUUUCCCGGUAACCACAUCACACGGGGGAACUUCCAGGAAGUGGACGACUAAGAUAAACAUGGUUUCCAAAUGUUGUAAACACAAUGUUGUAAAAGAUGCAACGAUGAUAGGGGAUGUAACAGCGUGUUCUGCCCUGCACACAGUCACUUGACGGACAGACACCCGGCAGUGACCCGGACACACAGUGGUCACGGACAAAUCUCAUAGACACGAGCUCAGGAAGCCAGACACAAAACAGACGCACUGACUCCACUGAUAGAAAGCGCAAACCAGGCGGAAUCACCCUGUGGUGUCAGAGGUCAGGAUAGCGUUCCCCUGGGGAGUGGGGUGGUUACGGGCAGGUCUUCGGGGAGCUGUGGGGGCUGGCAACACUCCAUUCUUGAUCCGGGUCCUGGUGGCGCGACGCGUUCGGUUCGCGAAGACUCGUGGAGCUGCGUGCAUUUAAGCGGUGCCGUGUGCUUUCUACACUCCGUUUUAGUGAAAGUCGAACCAUGAAACCUUCACUGGUUUUGAAUUCGUAAUCUGA